rnacentral:rRNA from 1 species
UACGUAGGAGGCAAGCGUUGUCCGGAGUUACUGGGCGUAAAGCGCACGCAGGCGGUCCUAUUAGUCUGGGGUGACAGUUCCCGGCUUAACCGGAAAAGGACUCUGGAAACUGUAGGACUUGAGGGCUUCAGAGGGAUGUGGGAAUUCCAGGUGGAGUGGUGAAAUGCGUAGAGAUCUGGAAGAACACCAAAGGCGAAGGCAGCAUCCUGGGAAGUUCCUGACGCUCGGGUGCGAAAGCCAGGGGAGCGAACGGG